rnacentral:lncRNA from 1 species
AUGACUAUGCUGCUUUUUUCAGCAUGGCUACUAACUGAUUUACUUCAUACUGUAUCUGCAUCACGUAUCACAUCACAUGUGGCACAAUGUUCAUUCAGUCGACUGUUUUCACAGCAGCCUCUACUCUGCCUGAUUCCACCAGAGAGACAGAAACAUCUGUUCCUCACACUCUUCACACUGAAGGUUGUUCAUUCACUCACAACACAAAACUGCUAUUCUGAAUAUUUGUAUAAAAUAAAACUUUUAACUUUUCCCACCUUUUUGUGAUCAUAUGCAGUAUACACUGAAAAGAAUGGUUUGAGCUAUCUAAAAAAUUAUGGUAACAACAUUACACAUAAUAUUAUUGAAUAGUUUAAGGCUUGAUUCUUUUUUUUUUUAUAUAGAAUCUAACUAAAUAAAUCAUGUAAAAUCUCCUAAAUUAUUUAAUCUAUGAUACAAUGAAAUUAAUACUAUUAGUGAAAUGCACUCGUUUAUUUUAAGUUGAUUCCCAAAGGCCUGUGAUUUUGAGUAAGGCCUGUUUGUAUUUGACUUUGAGUUUUUUGUCCAAUUAAAAGAUUGUAUACAUCCGCACAGCUCAAGUAGGAAAAUGCUGAAAAAUACUGGACUAGCAUUAGCAAAGCUACUGCUCAGCAUCACACCUCACAGUGUUAGUAAGCAGUUAUCUAACCAUAAGCUCCACUCUUCUGCCCAGUGAUAACGUCAAAAACUUCAACGGAACAGAAACUCUUUCAAAUGUCAUACAUAACCGAACAUUAAACAUUAAUCCCUUCACACUCAAAAACAAAUUAUGCUAAUUCUAUUACAUAAAUAGGUAGCUGUCAUUCCUUAAUAUUUUUCAGUUUAAUCAGUUCCUCAAUUCAAGCCUCAAGACUGCUUAAGUGUUCUUAAAAACAUGGUUUUAUUAGUGGUUUUAUAAGUGAAAAGAUCUCAGUAUUUUCUAUAAAACACUGAACCACAAUUUCUUUAAUAAAAUAUACACACAAGUGGUUUGGUUAAUGACCUUCAAAGAUGGUUAAUAAUCCCCUUAAUUUUUUUUUAUAAAAAUUACAAGACACAUUAUUAUUAUUAUUAUUAUUUACAGUGUAUUGAUGUAAAAUUCAUUAAAUUACAAAAAUCUGCACACAAUUUACCUGAUUUAGCACCGUAUCCAUUCAUUUUUUUGCAAUAUAAAUAUGGAUUAAAUCUUUUUUUUUCUUUUGACAGACUCAUUGCUUUAUUUCUGUCUGGACUCGUAGGAUUCAUCUGUCUGUGCUGCUUUACCAGUAAGUACAAUGUACAGGUUUAGUUGUGCAUAAACUGAAAUCCAUGAUACAGAAACUUAUGAUAAUAAAGUUUGUAUCUCUGCAGGUUCUGCUGAUGUUCUCACAGAACUGAACUACAUCUCCUGCCAGAUGGAAACAACAUCUCUUUUAACUUCCUCUGUGUGCUCCUCAAAACAUGAAUGACUUGUUUACUUUCUUUACUUUUUGCACCUCUAUCACUGAUGUGUAUAUGUACAGCAGGAAUGAUAGCAUAAGCAUAUGUACAGUAUAUAGCUACUGAAUUCAUAUACUGAACAUCAGGCCAGAUAGAAUCUUUGGAGCUUUUUUCCACAUUUUCAUUUUGGGAGAAAAUGAAUUUAUAUUGUUAAAAUGCAUUAAAUGUUGUUCAUGGGAGUUCAGUGAUGCACACAUUUUAAUCAACUUUUAUAAUAAAUACAUGUACACAAGUUCUAACAAAGUCACAUUUCAACUGUACCAUGUUAGCCUAUAAGCAAUUUUACAAAAUUAGCAUAGUGCCUUGCUUGUUCAGUUUGUAUUAUCUGUCAAUAGUCUUAAUAAUGAACAACUGAACUGCCUUAGUCUGUUUGCAUGUUUUUAUACAUUAAUAAGCAAAUGUGUACCUACUGUAAAGUGAAUAAUAUAUUUCACAUUUUUAAUAAAUGGUUCAGGGGUUUUGGCACAUUUAAAUGUUACUUUAACAAUCUUUACUUGCAGACAAACAGGUUUUCAUUUUCAUUAUGCAUUGUGACCUCUACGGAGAGGAUGAUUUGUGGCAAGUCAUUAGCACAAUACUGCCUUGUAUACAAUAAAAGGUGAACUAAAAAAAAU